AGAAGGAUUACUUUAUCCUAUCCUAGGUAUUCCUGAAAGAGGUGGGGUUUCAGGUGUCUCCGGAAGGUGGUGAUUGACUCUGCUGUCCUGGCGUUAUAUCACAACCGGCCGUGAUUGGGAGUUCCAUAGGGCGGCGCACAAUUGGCCCAGCGUCGUUAGGGUUUGGCCGGGGUAGGCCAUCAUUGUAAAUAUGAAUUUGUUCUUAACUGACUUGCCUAGUUAAAUGAAGGUUUAAUAAAAUUAAAAUAAAUACAUAAUUAUGGAGGGCACUGUAUAUGGUAGGAUAGCUUUAAGAUGGUUCAUCAAAGACGUGGGUUUUGACUCGAUGCCUGAAAGUUGUGUUCUCAGUACUAUGUUGCAGUUUAUUUGUUUAAAAAUGUGUAUUUUUCUCCACUGAUUAUGUGUCACGUUCUGUCAAUCGUUUUCCCUGAUUGAAAAUCAUACUUAGGUAGCCUGGUUUCACUUUUGAGUUGUGGGUGUUUAUUUUCUGUUCUGCGUUUUGUUGCACCGUUCAGGACUGUUCGUUUGUCGUGUAUUGUUUUUGUUUCAGUAUUCAUUCUUUAUUAAAUUACAAUGAAUACUUA